UGCACACCUGGAUGGCUCUAAGAGGGACGACAUGAAAAUGGAUAGUCAGCCGCCCCAAAAUCUCAUUUAGAGCGUCGAGGGAUUAACAGGAGAAGUACGACAAAGUACAGUAGGAUUCCAGACGGAUUCAAAAUCUUCAUCUCGAACGGCAGAUUUUACAGGGCCGCUGAAUAACUGGUAAUCACAAUUUGUAGUGCGACAUCUACGAAGGCCACGAGCUUCUGCACCCCAUCCACAAAUGUUUUAGGCUCUCUAGCAUCCGUGUUGGCAGUGGUUUGAAACAAGAUCGCAAACAUGAGAGCUAGAUUUCGAGUCAAGGAAACGCUUCACAGAGAUCUCAUUCUUAGCUAACCGUGCAAUGGUCAUGCUACCCUUUGAAGACCCAGGGGUAUCUUCAAACUGAGGACAAAUCCACCAUCUCUCUAAUUGCUUGAAAUCUUUCACCUAUUGUCUUCAGAAUGACGUUGUGCCAGGAAGUAUGGGUUACAUGGUCAUGUUGCUGAUGCAUCGAACCCACCAUCAAUUUGAGGUCGACGAGCUUCUGCACAUGGAAAAGGAUUCGAACGGCUUCCAGAUGGACGAGGUUUGAGAAUACGUGAAAUUUAUCAACCUCAGCAUGUCAAUUUGUGUAUCCGGGGAGGCCUCCUGAUCAAGCCGGAGUAAACACUUGAUGGACAGGCGCAGUUUAGAAAGAUGGACAUUGUGUUUCAAGCUUACUUCUAGAUCAAAACUCAUAUCCAGAGAGUACAAUUGGACAGUUACGGUUGAUCACAGGGUUCACAGAGUUCACAGGGCGUUUUAAACUUCCUGGAGUCAGUCGAUGUUGACCUUUCUGAGGAUGUCGCAUCUCUUUUCAUGGCCAUACCCACAGUUGAGGUGACAAAAAUCAAAGUUGGCAAUUGCUUAUUUCUUACCAAAUGUGUAGCAAGGGAAACACACAACAAGAGCAACAGUGAGAGCAACAGGCCUUCUCCUUUAGGAUGCAACUCCAACUCUUGCCACGGUGUUGGAAGCUAAUCCAACGCUCUAUAACAGUAAACAAGUUUUGGAGCUUGAUUGUAGAGCCACAGCAUUUAGUUCUUUGAUUGUGUCAACUUUUGCUACAAUAGUAUUUGCUACGGAUGGUGACCCUGCAAGCAUGAGCAUCCUGUAAGAAAACAUGAACUCUAGGGGGUUAUGCAUGUGUGUAAUAUGAAUUGUGAGGCAGUUUAGUGCAAUGUGAGUUAUGAAACAAAUUCUCUCCAAAAAUGCGGCUUGGGCAGUUGAAACAACAAUGGCGAGCCUACUUUGAUUAGAUUACAGAACGUUGGAUUGUAGAACAUUGAAUCGCAGAACAUUGGAUCAUUUUGUGAUUGUAAACCAAACCAAGGCCUUUGAACACAUCUUCCACCAUGGAUCUCAAUACGAUACGCUGGACAA